ACCGCGGUAGCCCAGUUGGUAGUGGCGUCGGCAGUACAGAUCCCGAAGGUCGCAGGUUCAAAUCCUGCCUGCGGUG